rnacentral:rRNA from 1 species
GAUGAACGCUAGCUACAGGCUUAACACAUGCAAGUCGAGGGACCAGCGCACGGGUGAGUAACACGUAUCCAACCUUCCCUUUACUGGUGGAUAUCCUUUCGAAAGACAGAUUAAUACCCGAUAUAAAGGAUGGGGAUGCGUUCCAUUCGGUUUUUGGUGAGGUGACGGCUCACAAGGCAUUCGAUGGAGAGGGGUUCGGAGCGGAAGGGCCCCCACCAUGGAACUGCGACACGGUCCAAACUCCUACGAGAGGCAGCAGUGAGGGAGAUUGGUCAAUGAGCGCUAGCCUGAACCAGCAGAGUAGCGUGAAGGAGGAAGGCUUUUUGGUCGUAAACUUCUUUUAUAUAAGAAUAUGUAUUAUAUGAAUAAGGAUCGGCUAACUCCGUGCCAGCAGCCGCGGUAAUUC